rnacentral:rRNA from 1 species
UGGGGAAUAUUGGACAAUGGGCGCAAGCCUGAUCCAGCAAUGCCGCGUGGAUGAAGAAGGUCUUCGGAUUGUAAAGUCCUUUCGACGGGGACGAUGAUGACGGUACCCGUAGAAGAAGCCCCGGCUAACUUCGUGCCAGCAGCCGCGGUAAUACGAAGGGGGCUAGCGUUACUCGGAAUUACUGGGCGUAAAGGGCGCGUAGGCGGCUUUUCAAGUUGGACGUGAAAUUCCUGGGCUCAACCUGGGGACUGCGUUCAAGACUGUGGAGCUAGAGGAUGGAAGAGGGUCGUGGAAUUCCCAGUGUAGAGGUGAAAUUCGUAGAUAUUGGGAAGAACACCGGUGGCGAAGGCGGCGACCUGGUCCAUUACUGACGCUGAGGCGCGACAGCGUGGGGAGCAAA